GCCGCUUCCCCAAUCUUCGAUUCGCUUCUCUUCUCCUCUCGAGCGCUGUGGUUUCUCCCCAUCGCGAGCUCUCUCUUCUCCCCCCCCCCCCCUCCCCUUCCUCGAGCGCGGUUUCGGCCAUGGCGGCGGCGGCGCAGGCGGUCGCGAAGGGGAGCGUGGUGUCGCCGAGCGGCAACCGGGCCGCGCCGGGGCUCCUGGGCCGGCGGAUGGCGCCAUCGGCGGUGCGGAUCGGGGCGCCCUGGAGGAAGACCGCGUUCCUCGGCGGCGGGAGGCUGGCGGUCGGGCCCAUGAGAUCCAGGUCCGCGUCCCGGACUCUCGUCGCGUCGCCGGUGCAGAUGAACAUGAACCUUGCGAUUGGGAAAUCCAUGAGGUGGUGGGAGAAGGGGCUGCAGCCCAACAUGCGGGAGGUCGAGUCCGCUCAGGACCUCGCCGAUUCAUUGGCCAACGCCGGCGACAGGCUCGUCAUCGUAGACUUCUUCUCCCCUGGCUGCGGAGGUUGCCGUGCUCUUCACCCAAAGAUUUGCCAGUUUGCGGAGCAGAAUCCGGAUGUGCUGUUCUUGCAAGUGAACUAUGAGGAGCACAAGUCUAUGUGCUACAGCCUCCAUGUCCAUGUCCUACCUUUCUUCAGGUUCUACAGGGGAGCUCAGGGACGUCUCUGCAGCUUCAGCUGCACCAACGCAACUAUCAAGAAGUUCAAGGAUGCCCUUGCAAAGCACAAACCAGAUAGAUGUAGCAUUGGCCCGACUAGGGGGCUGGAGGAAUCAGAGUUAUUAGCACUGGCCGCAAACAAGGACCUGCAGUUCACCUACACCAAGAAGCCAGAACUGAUCCCCAGUGGAGAUGCUGCUGCAGAAGUCAUUGCUCCCGAGCCUGUAGAGUUCCCAGCGGCAACAAAGCCGUUGGUCAGGCUGGGGUCCGAGGAGAGGUCCUUGGUCUCAUCAGGAAGAUAAGAUGCAGGGUUAUCUUUAGGAUGAUCAGAUCCUUCCAUUCUGUACAGUUCCGUGGUUGUUCUUGAUGUGUACAGGUUGUAGCAUCUCAUGCUAGUAGAGCGCAGGCCAUGAUUUUUACAUGUGAAGCCUGCCCGCCCGCCUGUCCUCCGGACUCCAGUAGUUUAGCAAGUUUGUAUUAGCACUUUAGCAGUAGCAGACUAGCAGAGUGGUGUUGUGGAGCUUCUGCCUCCUGUAUGGUAGAUGUGCGAAUGAAUUCGUCUGCAUGCUAUUUGGUUGCAUUUUAAAAUCAUGUGGCUUAGUUCCCGCACUUCCAUUUCUCCCUCCACUACCAUUUCUCCCGCAGCCUCAGGUUAUUUGUCUGGGUGUAUUUCGCGAAGCUCAAUAAUCAAUCAUGCCUUAUGUUGUGUCA